rnacentral:ncRNA from 2 species
ACCUCAUCACGACGCAGGGGAGGCAUACGGGCCGAUGAUCCUGCCGCAACCGCCGGAGCGCCGGCAUGGUGCGUCUUCCGUCCGCCGAACGCGGGAAGAUGAGCU